rnacentral:lncRNA from 1 species
ACUCACAGAUUAUCGCCAUCAAGGAGUUGAAGUUGCCAAUGUUAAAACACUCCCGAGCUACGUCAAUGAAAUACUCAAUCAUUCUUGCUCGGUGUUUUUUCUUAACAGGCUAUCACCAUACAGAUUUCUGUAGCAACCAAGUAGCUGAGGCGAUUAAACCAUUCCACGUAAGCUUCUAAGUUUCGUGUUUUCUUCCGUUCACUGUAGCAA